rnacentral:rRNA from 1 species
UGAGGAAUAUUGGUCAAUGGGCGAGAGCCUGAACCAGCCAAGUAGCGUGCAGGAUGACGGCCCUAUGGGUUGUAAACUGCUUUUAUAUGGGAAUAAAGUGAGGGACGUGUCCCUUAUUGCAUGUACCAUACGAAUAAGGACCGGCUAAUUCCGUGCCAGCAGCCGCGGUAAUACGGAAGGUUCGGGCGUUAUCCGGAUUUAUUGGGUUUAAAGGGAGCGUAGGCCGUUUGGUAAGCGUGUUGUGAAAUGUAGGAGCUCAACUUCUAGAUUGCAGCGCGAACUGUCAGACUUGAGUGCGCACAACGUAGGCGGAAUUCAUGGUGUAGCGAUGAAAUGCUUAGAUAUCAUGAAGAACUCCGAUUGCGAAGGCAGCUUACGGGAGCGCAACUGACGCUGAAGCUCGAAGGUGCGGGUAUCGAACAGG